rnacentral:rRNA from 1 species
CCGCCGGCGACCGGCGCACGGGUGAGUAACACGUAUGCAACCUGGCCGUGACAGAUGGAUAACCGGGAGAAAUCCCGCCUAAUACAACAUAAUGCCGGGGGGGGACAUCCCCUGCCGGUCAAAGGGGGCGACCCCGGUCAUGGAUGGGCAUGCGGCGCAUUAGGUAGUUGGUGGGGCAACGGCCCACCAAGCCGACGAUGCGUAGGGGUUCUGAGAGGAAGGUCCCCCACAUUGGAACUGAGACACGGUCCAAACUCCUACGGAAGGCAGCAG